UUAAAUGUUUGUUCGUGUUCGUUGCUCUUUGGACAAGCGUAGCAGUAAAUCUGGUUUCAUAACGGAAAUCACUGAGAAGGUUAUCGAUGCCAUUGGCGAGGUUGGACUUGCGAGAUUGAUAAACGUGGUUCGUAGCUUUGAUAUUCCUGUUGAGAGUGGAGAAAACGACGAAUUGAAGUGAAAGUUGUCAGAAGUUGGAGUUUGGCCAUUGCAAAGUGGUCGUUGACUAUUGCACGUGGAGAAGGCUUGAAGGCGUGAGGCUGUGGAGCAUCAAUGACAGUGAGUGCUGCUUGGUGAUAGGAAGUAGAGAUUUGGUUUGUCUAAUUUGUGGAGUAGAUGGUGGUUGGUUGCUUGAUGAGUUUAAUGAGUUAAUGAAUGUUUUGUGUUGUAGUCCUCAUUUCCUUAUGGAUCUGGUACGUGUGACG